rnacentral:rRNA from 1 species
AGCGAACGCUGGCGGCAGGCUUAACACAUGCAAGUCGAGCGGGCCCCUCGGGGUCAGCGGCGGACGGGUGAGUAACGCGUGGGAACGUGCCUUCUGGUUCGGAAUAACUCAGGGAAACUUGAGCUAAUACCGGAUACGCCCUUUUGGGGAAAGGUUUACUGCCGGAAGAUCGGCCCGCGUCUGAUUAGCUAGUUGGUGGGGUAACGGCCUACCAAGGCGACGAUCAGUAGCUGGUCUGAGAGGAUGAUCAGCCACACUGGGACUGAGACACGGCCCAGACUCCUACGGGAGGCAGCAGUGGGGAAUAUUGGACAAUGGGCGCAAGCCUGAUCCAGCCAUGCCGCGUGAGUGAUGAAGGCCUUAGGGUUGUAAAGCUCUUUUAUCCGGGACGAUAAUGACGGUACCGGAGGAAUAAGCCCCGGCUAACUUCGUG